AGCAGACCUUUCAUGCGCAGUUCUCCCCAAAGUGUGUGGGGAAUUUUAAGGCCACUGUGCUGUGCAGGAUUCCUAACCUGAAGCCAACUCAGAAGAGGGUGCGGGUGAUUUUGAAAGGCACAGCCCGGGAGGAGAAGAGUCUUGGUAAACUUGAAGAGUCUGUGUUACGGCAGACAGAGCAAGGCCAGACACCCGAGAAGCAGGUGCACGGGAAACUACCACCUGAGUGACAGCAUCUGUGUCAGCUGGAGCAUCCGGCAGGAGCCGGCAACAUCGUCUCUUCUGCUGCUGAUGGUCUCCCACCCUUCACCGGAGACCUCUGCAGCUACCCUUCCAAGCUCCAGUGAAGACCUCUCACUUACCUUUUAGUUACCUAAGUUAAUUAACUAAUUGUUAGUUGUUAAUCAAUUGUUCGUUAAUUGUUAAUUAAACAAUUGGCAAUAAAU